GACGAACCGUGCGAACGUUAUUCGGAUUCACUGGGCUUAAAGCGCACGCAGGCGGCCGCCCAAGCCGGGCGUGAAACGCUGCGGCUCAACCGCAGUUCUCGCGCGUCCGGGACUGGGCGGCUCGAGGGGGGCAGGGGCAGACGGAACUUCCGGUGGAGCGGUGAAAUGUGUUGAGCUCGGAAGGAACGCCGGCGGCGAAAGCGGUCUGCUGGACCCCGCCUGACGCUCAGGUGCGAAAGCCAGGGGAGCAAACGGG
rnacentral:rRNA from 1 species